rnacentral:rRNA from 1 species
ACGGGUGAGUAACACGUGGGUAACCUGCCCUCCACUCUGGGAUAACUCCGGGAAACCGGGGCUAAUACCGGAUACGACCUGAGGCGGCAUCGCCUCGGGUGGAAAGUUUUUCGGUGGAGGAUGGACCCGCGGCCAAUCAGCUUGUUGGUGGGGUAAUGGCCUACCAAGGCGAUGACGGGUAGCCGGCCUGAGAGGGCGACCGGCCACACUGGGACUGAGACACGGCCCAGACUCCUACGGGAGGCAGCAGUGGGGAAUAUUGCACAAUGGGCGAAAGCCUGAUGCAGCGACGCCGCGUGAGGGAUGACGGCCUUCGGGUUGUAAACCUCUUUCAGCAGGGACGAAGCGCAAGUGACUGUACCUGCAGAAGAAGCACCGGCUAACUACGUGCCAGCAGCCGCGGUAAUACGUAGGGUGCGAGCGUUGUCCGGAAUUAUUGGGCGUAAAGAGCUUGUAGGUGGCUCGUUGCGUCGGGAGUGAAAACCUGCGGCUUAACCGCAGGCCUGCUUCCGAUACGGGCGAGCUAGAGUUCGGCAGGGGAGACUGGAAUUCCUGGUGUAGCGGUGGAAUGCGCAGA